ACACUUCACAGCGACAACAAGCACUCCCAGAUCCCUCCGGAUGCCGGACUUGGAGGAGUCUAUGCAGCCCAAGCCCGCCGACCCCUCCUCCCUGCCCCCCGCCGCCGGUAGAAGAUGGAGGCCCCGAGCUCCCCCUACGCCUCCUCGCCCUAGCCGUGCCCAAGCGCGCGCCCCUCUCCUCCCCGCUGCCCCCGCAGGACCGCCCCGACGCCGACCACGACGCUGCCGAGCCCGAAGAGAAGCUGCAACCUGCAGAAUGCAAGAAAGGGCUGAUGUGUGUUGCGUCCUCGCCAUUUCUGGACAUCAAGGUUCUUGUCAUCGUCCUAUGUGAGCUGCGAAUAGCUCAUCCAUCCCACCAACCCCGAUAAUUUUUAUAUAUGCUUGCUAUGGGUUUCCAUUCAAAGCUAUAAGGUCGUUAACUGCUAUCUUAUUCAGUUUUAUUCUUCCCUGUAUCUAUCAAGCUUAGUCAUGUUUACACACAGCUUCAGUAAAUGGCAUUGUAUAUGUUUUUCUCAGUAAAUGCAAGACAUUGUAUUCAACACUAAUCUCCUAUGUAUGCCAUGAGCAUGUGAAUAGCUCAAUCCUGUUGUCUUUGUGCUUAGUGCUUACUGCCUAGGUGUUCUCAGUUUACAAAGAGUUUUGGGAGUACUUGCCUGUUGCAAAUGGAUGGGCCUGUUGUUAGAUGCAUGAGUCUGACACUCCAGUGAUUUCUAACUUAGACACUUGUAUUUAUGCAACUUUACCAACAAUUUUGUUUGCAACAGCAUUAUGCACAUGAGGCAUGACUAUACAAGUGAAUUGUCGCAGUAAGGUCCUUCCAUGGAUUUCAUGUGGCUCCUUGAGUUGUAAGAUGCAGCUCUAACAUUGAAUAUAUUUUGAAUGUUUCCAAAGAUACUCUUUGUUACGUUUACUUCAAUAUAUACAUGCAUGUUACUGAUAGAAGCUGGCUGCAGGAAUCUGUACACAUAUAUACUCUCUUGUACAGUGCAUUGCUAGAUCACUCACUAGGCAUUAUGUAAUACUACUAGGAGAUAUGGGUGAGGGACUAAAAGGAUGAUAUGCUUCCAUGAAUUUAUUUGUAAGAAGUUUUUCUUGGCUGUGUACAAACCAACCCAAAUGAAUUUAUGUUCUUUUUACUUCCAGAGUUAUAGUGCACUCAUACUGUCAUCACAUUGCGUGUUCUUGCUGCAUAUACCUCUCUAUUUGCUUAGGCAGACAACUACUUAUGUACUCCCUCCGUUCCUAAAUACUUGUCUUUCUAGACAUUUCAAAUGACUACUACAUACGGAUGUAUGCAGACAUAUUUUAGAGUGUAGAUUCACUCAUUUUGCUCUGUAUGUAGUCACUUGUUAAAAUGCCUAGAAAGACAAGUAUUUAGGAACGGAGGGAGUAAUAUGCAAACAACAACAACAACAUAGCUAGUGAUGCUAAUUCUACCUCUUGUUACAAAAUCAGAAUUCCUCUUGUUGCACAUGACAACUCCGUUUCCUCUUGUUACAGAAUCAGAAUUCCUCUGCUUCUUAUGCUACUCUGCUAGAACUCUGCUUUUCUACUUGUCAUAUUGAAUAUACAUGUUCUAAACAUUAUACAGUACUUUCGUUGUUAACUCCAAACAACUUGGGAUCUUCUCUUCUACAUGCAGCAAUUGGCUUACCAGUACGCCGCCAAGGGGGCAUGCCUUGCCCUGGUAGCAAGGAGGGGGCAUACCUUGCCCUGCAGACAGCAAGGUAAUCCUUUUCCCUGCCAUGUUCAGGUGCAUCACUCUGAUGCCGAUGAAGGGUGAGAUCUUGGUCGACACUAUGGAGAAGACCCUGAAGCCUGGUGUGUUCCUCAAAUCGGGACUGAUAGAAACCGAAGGGCCACUCGAAGCUGUCAAAGGGCACUUGUAGAUCUUGUGGUUGUGAUUACACUUGUAGAGACUUGUUGAGCUUGUGGCUGUGAUUACCAUUGUAUCUAAGUUAUACUCCCUC